rnacentral:snRNA from 1 species
GGAUGAGAACACAAUCUGGUUGUGCCAUUUUGUCGCCCCUUGAUUGCUGGGAUUGAUUUGGCUGACCUGGCUGGUUAGGCAGGUGUCCCCUUCCUCCCUCAUUGCUCCUGUGUUUCCCUCCCUAAGGUGCAUGAGCAUAUCCAUCUCUGUCAAGGGUGUAUGUGUAGCUGUGUUCCCCUGGUAGAACCUCCCAGGACCAAAAUGUAUAGUAGAUACUGGGAAGUGGGAAGAAAAUGUUCAAAUGGAAAGGAAAAU